rfam:Camponotus floridanus CamFlo_1.0_2.contig4536, whole genome shotgun sequence.
CAAACGGCCCUUUUCAGGGCCACCAAUAAUACUGCGAACA